rnacentral:rRNA from 1 species
GUCUUCUUUGCUGGCGACCGGCGCACGGGUGAGUAACACGUAUCCAACCUGCCCUUUACUCGGGGAUAGCCUUUCGAAAGAAAGAUUAAUACCCGAUAGCAUAAUGAUUCCGCAUGGUUUCAUUAUUAAAGGAUUCCGGUAAAGGAUGGGGAUGCGUUCCAUUAGGUUGUUGGUGAGGUAACGGCCCACCAAGCCUUCGAUGGAUAGGGGUUCUGAGAGGAAGGUCCCCCACAUUGGAACUGAGACACGGUCCAA